GUCCUAUCCUGCAGCACCGCCAUGUGACAAUACUACGCGCUCAACACCUGCGCCUGCGUCAGCUGAUCAACAAUGCAAGAUUUGCCGCUUCACCGCGACAGAACCAUGUACUCCACCACUGCCGUCACUGUCACGUGUGUGAGUGAUUAUAGGAGGGAUCUGGAUUGGUGAUCCGAAUUAUUGACCACUUACACACAUAGUUGAACCCACACUGCAGAGCUCAUAUCCAUGGACAGCCCGCACUUAUUUUUUUUUAAGCUGAUUGUGUUUCUCUGGUAGGUACUGUCUCAAAAGGACUCUAUAGUACACGUAUUUUAAGUGUAACAUUUCAAAUGUUCAUUUGGUCUGUAAUUCUUAGCAAAAACAUCACCACUCUUCAAGGAACUUUAUUAAAUUCCAGUCUCUGAUACUUCUAUAGUGUGAACCUAGAUUGUCCAAAUUGAUCAUGGUUAAUAAAUAAUAAAUAUAAAACUCCUGAGA